UACGUAGGGACCGAGCGUUGUCCGGAUUCAUUGGGCGUAAAGAGCUCGUAGGCGGCUGUUCAAGUCGAACGUGAAAACUCGGGGCUCAACUCCGAGCCUGCGUUCGAUACUGGAUGGCUAGAGUCUGGUAGGGGGAUCUGGAAUUCCUGGUGUAGCGGUGGAAUGCGCAGAUAUCAGGAAGAACACCCGUGGCUAAGGCGGCUCUCUAGUACGGUACUGACGCUGAGACGCGAAAGCGUGGGGAGCGAACAGG
rnacentral:rRNA from 1 species